AGUAAAGAUCCAGAGAUCCAGUCCUGACUCCUGCGUCUCCUUUCCACCUGCUUUUCUCCCUUUUCCCUAUAUGUGUGUGCGAGCUGCUUGUAAUGAUGUCAUGCCUGUAAAAAAGGAGACUUUGACCUGGAGAAUUAGGAAGAAAAGUGGCACAUUGUUGGCUUUGCUAGCAAUGCUCAUUGGCUUGUGGAUCACAAGGCAGACAUGUAGUGCUGUAAUUGUGCCAACCUGAACACUGAUGGUACCUGCUGUAGAAUGAGUCAUGUGGACAAGAAAACGUACACUCCUCGACACUUCACCUUGCGCAGCCAAAGUG